AAUAGGUAUGCUUAGGGAGGAGCUUGCGUCACAUUAGUUAGUUGGUGGGGUAAAGGCUUACCAAGACUAUGAUGUGUAGCCGGGCUGAGAGGUUGAACGGCCACAUUGGGACUGAGACACGGCCCAAACUCCUACGGGAGGCAGCAGUAGGGAAUUUUCGGCAAUGGAGGAAACUCUGACCGAGCAACGCCGCGUGAACGAUGAAGUAUUUCGGUACGUAAAGUUCUUUUAUUAGGGAAGAAUAAAUGAUGGAAAAAUCAUUCUGACGGUACCUAAUGAAUAAGCCCCGGCUAACUAUGUGCCAGCAGCCGCGGUAAUACAUAGGGGGCAAGCGUUAUCCGGAAUUAUUGGGCGUAAAGGGUGCGUAGGCGGUUAAAUAAGUUUAUGGUCUAAGUGCAAUGCUUAACAUUGUGAUGCUAUAAAAACUGUUUAACUAGAGUAAGAUAGAGGCAAGUGGAAUUCCAUGUGUAGUGGUAAAAUGCGUAAAUAUAUGGAGGAACACCAGUAGCGAAGGCGGCUUGCUGGGUCUUUACUGACGCUGAGGCACGAAAGCGUGGGGAGCAAACAGGAUUAGAUACCCUGGUAGUCCACGCCGUAAACGAUGAGUACUAAAUGUUGGGUAAAACCAGUGUUGAAGUUAACACAUUAAGUACUCCGCCUGAGUAGUACGUACGCAAGUAUGAAACUUAAAGGAAUUGACGGGACUCCGCACAAGCGGUGGAUCAUGUUGUUUAAUUCGAAGGUACCCGAAAAACCUCACCAGGUCUUGACAUGCUUCUGCAAAGCUGUAGAAACACAGUGGAGGUUAUCAGUUGCACAGGUGGUGCAUGGUUGUCGUCAGCUCGUGUCGUGAGAUGUUGGGUUAAGUCCCGCAACGAGCGCAACCCUUAUUGUUAGUUACCAGCACGUAAUGGUGGGGACUUUAGCAAGACUGCCAGUGAUAAAUUGGAGGAAGGUGGGGACGACGUCAAAUCAUCAUGCCCCUUAUGACCUGGGCUACAAACGUGAUACAAUGGCUGUUACAAAGGGUAGCUGAAACGCAAGUUUUUGGCGAAUCUCAAAAAAACAGUCUCAGUUCGGAUUGAAGUCUGCAACUCGACUUCAUGAAGUUGGAAUCGCUAGUAAUCGCG
rnacentral:rRNA from 1 species